AGUGAACGCUGGCGGUAGGCCUAACACAUGCAAGUCGAACGGCAGCACAGCAGUAGCAAUACUGUGGGUGGCGAGUGGCGGACGGGUGAGGAAUACAUCGGAAUCUACCUUUUCGUGGGGGAUAACGUAGGGAAACUUACGCUAAUACCGCAUAAGACCUUCGGGUGAAAGUGGGGGACCUCGGGCCUCACGCGGAUAGA
rnacentral:rRNA from 1 species